UAGGGAAUAUUGCACAAUGGGCGAAAGCCUGAUGCAGCAACGCCGCGUGCGCGAUGAAGGCCUUCGGGUCGUAAAGCGCUUUUCUGAGAGAUGAGAAAGGACAGUAUCUCAGGAAUAAGUCUCGGCUAACUACGUGCCAGCAGCCGCGGUAAAACGUAGGAGGCAAGCGUUAUCCGGAUUCACUGGGCGUAAAGCGCGUGCAGGCGGUUCGGUAAGUUGGGCGUGAAAUCUCCUGGCUUAACUAGGAGAGGUCGUUCAAUACUACCGAACUUGAGAGUGAUAGAGGAAGAUGGAAUUCCCGGUGUAGUGGUGAAAUGCGUAGAUAUCGGGAGGAACACCAGUGGCGAAAGCGAUCUUCUGGAUCAUUUCUGACGCUCAGACGCGAAAGCUAGGGUAGUAAACGGG
rnacentral:rRNA from 1 species